rnacentral:rRNA from 1 species
UACGGGGGGAGCAAGCGUUGUUCGGAUUUACUGGGCGUAAAGGGCGCGUAGGCGGCCAGCACAAGUCAGUUGUGAAAUCUCCGGGCUUAACUCGGAAAGGUCAACUGAUACUGUGCGGCUAGAGUGCGGAAGGGGCAACUGGAAUUCUCGGUGUAGCGGUGAAAUGCGUAGAUAUCGAGAGGAACACCUGCGGCGAAGGCGGGUUGCUGGGCCGACACUGACGCUGAGGCACGAAGGUCAGGGGAGCAAACGGG